rnacentral:rRNA from 1 species
CGGAGAAGCUCUUGAUCGAAGCCCCGGUAAACGGCGGCCGUAACUAUAACGGUCCUAAGGUAGCGAAAUUCCUUGUCGGGUAAGUUCCGACCUGCACGAAUGGCGUAAUGAUGGCCAGGCUGUCUCCACCCGAGACUCAGUGAAAUUGAACUCGCUGUGAAGAUGCAGUGUACCCGCGGCAAGACGGAAAGACCCCGUGAACCUUUACUAUAGCUUGACACUGAACACUGGUCCUUGAUGUGUAGGAUAGGUGGGAGGCUUUGAAGUGUGGACGCCAGUCUGCAUGGAGCCAUCCUUGAAAUACCACCCUUUAAUGGCUGGUGUUCUAACGUGGGCCCGUAAUCCGGGUUGCGGACAGUGUCUGGUGGGUAGUUUGACUGGGGCGGUCUCCUCCUAAAGAGUAACGGAGGAGCACGAAGGUCAGCUAAUCCUGGUCGGACAUCAGGAGGUUAGUGCAAUGGCAUAAGCUGGCUUGACUGCGAGCGUGACGGCGCGAGCAGGUGCGAAAGCAGGUCAUAGUGAUCCGGUGGUUCUGAAUGGAAGGGCCAUCGCUCAACGGAUAAAAGGUACUCCGGGGAUAACAGGCUGAUACCGCCCAAGAGUUCAUAUCGACGGCGGUGUUUGGCACCUCGAUGUCGGCUCAUCACAUCCUGGGGCUGAAGUAGGUCCCAAGGGUAUGGCUGUUCGCCAUUUAAAGUGGUACGCGAGCUGGGUUUAGAACGUCGUGAGACAGUUCGGUCCCUAUCUGCCGUGGGCGCUGGAGAAUUGAGGGGGGCUGCUCCUAGUACGAGAGGACCGGAGUGGACGCAUCACUGGUGUUCGGGUUGUCAUGCCAAUGGCAUUGCCCGGUAGCUAAAUGCGGAAGAGAUAAGUGCUGAAAGCAUCUAAGCACGAAACUUGCCCCGAGAUGAGUUCUCCCUGACCCUUUAAGGGUCCUGAAGGAACGUUGAAGACGACGACGUUGAUAGGCCGGGUGUGUAAGCGCAGCGAUGCGUUGAGCUAACCGGUACUAAUGAACCGUGAGGCUUAACCUU